rnacentral:rRNA from 1 species
CUGGCGGCGUGCUUAACACCUGCAUGUCAAGCGAUGAAACUAUUUCUGUAGUGAAUUACCGUGGAACGGGUGAGGAACACUUGAGGAAUCUGCCUUCUACACUGGGAUAACUCCGGGAAACCGGGGCUAAUACCGGAUAUGAAACUUGGUGGCAUCACCGGGUUUGGAAAGUUUUUCGGAAUAAGAUGACCUCACGGCCUAUCAGCUUGUUGGUGAGGUAAUGGCUCACCAAGGCGACCACCGGUAGCCGGCCUGACAGGGCUACCGGCCACACUGUGACUGAUACACGGCCCACACUCCUACGGGAGGCAGCAGUGGGGAAUAUUGCGCAAUGUACGAAACUCUGACCCACCGACGCCUCGUGCGGGAUGAAGGCCUUCUGGUUGUAAACCGCUUUCAGUAUGGAACAAGCGAAAGUGACGGUACCUACAGAAGAAGCACCGGCUAACUAUGUGCCAGCAGCCGCGGUAAUACAUAGGGUACAAGCGUUGUCCGGAAUUAUUGGGCGUAAAGAGCUCGUAGGUGGUUCGUUACGUCGGAUGUGAAAAUCU